rnacentral:misc_RNA from 1 species
GAUGAAGAACGUAGUGAAAUGCGAUAAGUAAUGUGAAUUGCAGAAUUCAGUGAAUCAUCGAAUCUUUGAACGCACAUUUCGCCCCUUGGUAUUCCAUGGGGCAUGCCUGUUCGAGCGUCAUUUGUACCUUCAAGCUUUGCUUGGUGUUGGGUGUUUGUCUCGCCUUUGCGUGUAGACUCGCCUUAAAAUAAUUGGCAGCCGGCGUAUUGAUUUCGGAGCGCAGUACAUCUCGCGCUUUGCACUCAUAACGACAGCGUCCAAAAGUACAUUUUACACUCUUGACCUCGGAUCAGGUAGGGAUACCCGCUGAACUUAAGCAUAUCAAUAAGCGGAGGA